rnacentral:rRNA from 1 species
UACAGAGGGGGCAAGCGUUGUUCGGAAUUACUGGGCGUAAAGGGCGCGUAGGCGGCCCGCUAAGUCGAACGUGAAAUCCCCGAGCUCAACUCGGGAACUGCGUCCGAUACUGGCAGGCUUGAAUCCGGGAGAGGGAUGCGGAAUUCCCGGUGUAGUGGUGAAAUGCGUAGAUAUCGGGAGGAACACCAGUGGCGAAGGCGGCUACCUGGCCCAUUCUUGACGCUGAGGCGCGAAAGCUAGGGGAGCAAACGGG